rnacentral:rRNA from 1 species
AGUGAACGCUGGCGGUAGGCCUAACACAUGCAAGUCGAACGGCAGCACAGUAAGAGCUUGCUCUUACGGGUGGCGAGUGGCGGACGGGAGAGGAAUACAUCGGAAUCUACUUUUUCGUGGGGGAUAACGUAGGGAAACUUACGCUAAUACCGCAUACGACCUACGGGGGAAAGCAGGGGAUCUUCGGACCUUGCGCGAUUGAAUGAGCCGAUGUCGGAUUAGCUAGUUGGCGGGGUAAAGGCCCACCAAGGCGACGAUCCGUAGCCGGUCUGAGAGGAUGGUCGGCGGCCUGGGAGCGGGGACAGGGACAAGGGUCCUGCGGGAGGCACCAGUGGGGAAUAUUGGACAGUAGGGGCGAACCUGGCCCAGCCGUCCCGCGUGUGUUGAGAAGGCCUUCGGGUUGUAAAGCCCUUUUUUUGGGAGAGAACCGCAGCAGGUUGAUACGACGCUGUUCUGACGGUAACCAAUGAAUAAGCACCGGCUAACUUCGUG